rnacentral:Y_RNA from 1 species
GGCUGGUGCGAUAAUAGUUAUCAGAACUUAUUAACAUUAGUGGCACUAAAGUUGGUAUUCAACCCCCCACUGCUAAAUUUGACUGGCCAUUA